rnacentral:rRNA from 1 species
UAGGGAAUAUUGCACAAUGGGGGAAACCCUGAUGCAGCGACGCCGCGUGAGUGAUGAAGGCCUUCGGGUUGUAAAGCUCUGUUGUACGGGAAAAAGAAAGUGAUUGUACCGUAUAAGAAAGGACCGGCUAACUUCGUGCCAGCAGCCGCGGUAAGACGAGGGGUCCUAGCGUUGCUCGGAAUCAUUGGGCGUAAAGCGGGUGUAGGCGGCUUUGUAAGUCAGUUGUGAAAGCCCCAGGCUCAACCUGGGAAGUGCUUCUGAUACUGCAAGGCUUGAGUAUUGGAGAGGAUAGUAGAAUUCCUGGUGUAGUGGUGAAAUACGUAGAUAUCAGGAGGAAUACCGGUGGCGAAGGCGGCUAUCUGGCCAAAUACUGACGCUGAGACCCGAAAGCGUGGGGAUC